GGGACGGUAGCUCAGCCUGGGAGAGCGUUAAGUUGAACUCAUGGGGUCGUGAGUUCAAAUCUCACUCGUCCCA
rnacentral:tRNA from 1 species